AUACGGAGGGGUUAGCGUUGUUCGGAAUUACUGGGCGUAAAGCGUACGUAGGCGGAUUAUAAGUUAGAGGUGAAUCCCAGGGCUCAACCCUGGAACUGCCUUUAAAACUGUUAGUCUUGAGAUCGAGAGAGGUGAGUGGAAUUCCAAGUGUAGAGGUGAAAUUCGUAGAUAUUUGGAGGAACACCAGUGGCGAAGGCGGCUCACUGGCUCGAUACUGACGCUGAGGUACGAAAGUGUGGGGAGCAAACAGGAUUAGAUACCCUGGUAGUCCACACCGUAAACGAUGAAUGCCAGACGUCAGCAAGCAUGCUUGUUGGUGUCACACCUAACGGAUUAAGCAUUCCGCCUGGGGAGUACGGUCGCAAGAUUAAAACUCAAAGGAAUUGACGGGGGCCCGCACAAGCGGUGGAGCAUGUGGUUUAAUUCGACGCAACGCGCAGAACCUUACCAACCCUUGACAUACUUGUCGCGGAUUCCAGAGAUGGAUUCCUUCAGUUCGGCUGGACAAUGUACAGGUGCUGCAUGGCUGUCGUCAGCUCGUGUCGUGAGAUGUUCGGUUAAGUCCGGCAACGAGCGCAACCCACGUCCUUAGUUACCAGCAUUUAGUUGGGUACCCUAAGGAGACUGCCGGUGAUAAGCCGGAGGAAGGUGUGGACGACGUCAAGUCAUCAUGGCCUUACGGGUUGGGCUACACACGUGCUACAAUGGCAUCUACAGUGAGUUAAUCUCCAAAAGAUGUCUCAGUUCGGAUUGGGGUCUGCAACUCGACCCCAUGAAGUUGGAAUCGCUAGUAAUCGCGGAACAGCAUGCCGCGGUGAAUACGUUCCCGGGCCUUGUACACACCGCCCGUCACACCAUGGGAAUUGGGUCUACCCGAAGGUGGUGCGCCAACUAUUUAUAGAGGCAGCCAACCACGGUAGGUUCAGUGACUGGGGUGUAGUCGUAACAAGGUA
rnacentral:rRNA from 1 species